rnacentral:piRNA from 1 species
CCCAGGUAUGCAUGACCAUUGAGGGC